ACUCUGCUUCGGGGUCCGACUAAUCCAUGCGAGUCAUGGGGCUCCCUUUUGGGAGCACCGGCGAACGGCUCAGCAACACGUGGCUAACCUACCCUCGGGUGGGGGAUAACCUCGGGAAACUGAGGCUAAUCCCCCAUAGGGGAGGAGGUCUGGAAUGAUCCCUCCCCGAAAGGCAGUAAGCCGCCCGAGGAUGGGGCUGCGGCGGAUUAGGUAGUUGGUGGGGUAAUGGCCCACCAAGCCUACGAUCCGUACGGGCCCUGAGAGGGGGAGCCCGGAGAUGGACACUGAGACACGGGUCCAGGCCCUACGGGGCGCAGCAGGCGCGAAACCUCCGCAAUGCGCGAAAGCGCGACGGGGGGACCCCGAGUGCCCUGCCUCUGGCAGGGCUUUUCCGGAGUGUAAACAGCUCCGGGAAUAAGGGCUGGGCAAGUCCGGUGCCAGCAGCCGCGGUAAUACCGGCGGCCCAAGUGGUGGCCACUGUUAUUGGGCCUAAAGCGUCCGUAGCCGGCCCGGUAAGUCUCUGCUUAAAUCCCGCGGCUUAACCGCGGGGCUGGCAGAGAUACUGCCGGGCUUGGGACCGGGAGAGGCCGGGGGUACCCCAGGGGUAGCGGUGAAAUGCGUUGAUCCCUGGGGGACCACCUGUGGCGAAGGCGCCCGGCUGGAACGGGUCCGACGGUGAGGGACGAAGGCCGGGGGAGCAAACCGGAUUAGAUACCCGGGUAGUCCCGGCUGUAAACUCUGCGGACUAGGUGUCGCGUGCCCUUCGGGGGCACGCGGUGCCGAAGGGAAGCCGUUAAGUCCGCCGCCUGGGGAGUACGGUCGCAAGACUGAAACUUAAAGGAAUUGGCGGGGGAGCACUACAACGGGUGGAGCCUGCGGUUUAAUUGGAUUCAACGCCGGGAAUCUCACCAGGGGCGACGGCAGGAUGAAGGCCAGGUUGACGACCUUGCCAGACGCGCCGAGAGGUGGUGCAUGGCCGUCGUCAGCUCGUACCGUGAGGCGUCCUGUUAAGUCAGGUAACGAGCGAGACCCGUGCCCCAUGUUGCCAUCCUCCCCUCCGGGGGAGGGGCACUCAUGGGGGACCGCCUCCGCUAAGGAGGAGGAAGGUGCGGGCAACGACAGGUCCGCAUGCCCCGAAUCCC
rnacentral:rRNA from 1 species